ACUCAAUGCUCAAUGUUGCCCAGGCUGGAGUGCAGUGGCGUGAUCUCAGCUCGCUACAACCUCUACCUCCCAGCCACCUGCCUUGCCUCCCAAAGUGCUAAGAUUACAGCCUCUUCCCGGCCGCCACCCCAUCUAGGAAGUGAGGAGCGUCUCUGCCUGGCCACUCAUUGUCUGGGAUGUGAGGAGCGCCUCUGCCCGGCCACCCCGUCUGGGAAGUGAGGAGUGCCUCUGCCCGGCCGCCACCCCAUCUAGGAAGUGAGGAGCAUCUCUGCCUGGCUGCCCAUCAUCUGGGAUGUGAGGAGCGCCUCUGUCUGGCCGCCCCGUCUGGGAAGUGAGGAGCACCUCUGCCCGGCCGCCCUGUCCAGGAGUAGAGACGGGGUUUCACCGUGUUAGCCAGGAUGGUGUCGAUCUCCUGACCUUGUGAUCUGCCUGCCUCAGCCUCCCAAAGUGCUGGGAUUACAGGUGUGAGCCACCGCGCCCGGCCUCUCGAGCUCAUUUUUAAGGUAACGCUGCUAGGGUUCUGAGUUUGAGAAGGGAUCUUCUAAAGGUAAGCUUAAUAUUGCAACUUUCACCACAGGGCCUCUGUCUAAAUUGCAUUUCAAGUGGAAGGAAAGGGGUGUAAGAAGUGAAAUAGAAUUUUGCUGCAGACCAAAAUCAUUCUACAAAAUGUAGAAAUGAUAAUAGCUUACCACAAAUUCAGCAAGAUUUAACGCCAAGUACAGCGGUGUAGACUUUACAAGUAUCCACUUCCGUUGGGUGAUCAGACAAGCUGAAGGGACACACAGGAUUUGGGACAGUAGCCCUUUAGACAAUGCUGGGUGUUGAAGACAGAACUUCAUCGUAAAUCCGUAUGUUCUAAUCUGAUAUUUAUACAGGCUAUGAUCGUCUCCUGAAAUGUUUCCCAAUUCUUUAUAUGUCUUUUAAAGCACAAUUUAACAUAUGCUAAAAAAUUUCCUUCCGCAUCCACCAGUUUUGAAUUUAAACUCAACUAAGUCUGCCAGGUCGUACAAACCACACCUUAAUCAUUCUAAGACAACUCUUAAAAUUAAUCUACUUGUAUUGUUCUGCUUGUACCUUAACUAUGGCAUAAUGAAUUUGCUAAUUCAAAAUGUUGCAGAGCCAGUAACCCCAGUGUUAUCUGCAGACCAUCUGAGGUACUUUUAAGCAUUUUUUUGAAUUCUAUUGUUUGCUUUGAAAACAUGGGGUUUAAACGGUCAAGGAAAAUGCGUUUUGUCUCGUCAUUCAGGAGCUCUUCGGGACACGCCUGCAGUGUUGCAGACAGGAUGGAAUGCAGGCAAGAGGGUUCCAACUCAGAGCGCAGACCCUUGGGAAAAGCACUUGGUGGGUCAUCCUGAAAACUUCCCAUUUCCGGCAGUUUUUGAUGGCAUGGCAGUCGUGACACCUGAGGCUCUCCUUUGGGGCACUGUCCUCUGUGGCCGUGGGUGGCCCUGGGCCCUCCUCCCAGCCAGUCCCGCCCCAGAGCUUCAACACCACUGCAGGACACCCGAGCAAAAUACUCUGUUGGAGCAGGGAACAAACCCACGGCUGCGCUCGGAGUGGCUGCUGAGGCUGGAUUUCUUCUUACUGAUUCUUUCACAUAUGGAAGAACUGGGCCGCCACUGGGAAGCGAGAGGCCAGCCCUGCUCGGAUCCUUUCUCAUUUCCAGUGAUAAUGCCUCACUCUGAAUUUCCAUCAGCCGCAGGCUUAUUCAUCCAGGAGGGUGCAUCUGCAGGCCAAGGGCCCUCCAUCGGCAUUCUUUGCUUAAGGCUGUAUGACAGUUUGUCCGAGUCACCUCCUCCGGCCCACUGCACUUGUGCCAGGCAGGUGCCGAGGGGCCCUCUUCUGUCCCUCAUGCUUCGUGUUCUUGGAUGCCGUGGGCCUGAGGUCACGCCUUCGUCAGUCCGGGAGGGCCUUCAAUGGAUCUCAAUAUGAACCUAUAGGCGGACGUUGAGCAUCAUGGAAGCCACGAUGUAGAAGUAGGGGAAGUUGAUGCGCAGCCACCAGGCCAGAUUGAAGAAGACAGCAGCUUGCGAGUCAGCCCCUUGCGUAAGACUCCACAGGAGCGGGCGGCGGCUGAGCGCUAGAGCCGGACAGCCAGGCGCGACAGAGCCGCCGCCAUAUAGAGACCGGCGCUCCCACAGCCCGCCUGCCCUCUCCGCGCCGCGUCGCUCGGGCCGCUGGCCUUCGCUUGGCGGGCUCAGGGAGCGAGGGAGGCGGCGGCUAGACUGGCGGGCGAGCGGGCUGCGGGAGCGGAGUCCGCGCGUCACGCUCGGAGAAGCACCUCCGCGAGCUGCCGCCUGGUCCCCCAGUUCACUGUAUUUUUUAAAUUUUCUUUGAGACUUCCUUUUGACCCAUGGAUUACUUAAAAGUGUGUUGUUUUGUUUCUAGUCAUUUGAAUAUCUUCCUGUUAUCUUUGUUAUUGAUUUCUCAUUUGAUUCCAUUGUCAUUACAAAACACACUCUAUAUGAUUUCACUUAUUUAAAAUUUGUUGAGGCUUGUUUGAUAGCCCAGGAUAUGACCUAUCUUGGGAUAUAUAUUUUGUGGUCAUUUGAAAAGAAUGUGUAUUCUGAUGUUGCUAAGUGGAGUGGACCAUAAAUGUUGAUUUG
rnacentral:lncRNA from 1 species